GAUGAAGAACGUAGCGAAAUGCGAUAAGUAGUGUGAAUUGCAGAAUUCAGUGAAUCAUCGAAUCUUUGAACGCACAUUGCGCCCCUUGGUAUUCCAUGGGGCAUGCCUGUUCGAGCGUCAUCUACACCCUCAAGCUCCGCUUGGUGUUGGGCGUCUGUCCCGCCUCCGCGCGUCGGACUCGCCCCAAAUCCAUUGGCAGCGUUCCUUGCCCCCUCUCGCGCAGCACAUUGCGCUUCUCGAGGGCGGCUCCGGGACGCGACCCACGAAGAUGACCACCGUCUUUGACCUCGGAUCAGGUAGGGAUACCCGCUGAACUUAAGCAUAUCAUAAGCGGAGGA
rnacentral:misc_RNA from 1 species